rnacentral:lncRNA from 1 species
AUGAUGGAGCAGGACUGGCUGCUGCCACCAAGGGGACGGAUGGAGUUACUACUGGGCCACUGACUGCGGUCCCUGUAGACUCCUGAGACCACUGCGGUGCUGUCCCCUGUCGCACCGCACUGGCGUAGGUUGUUUGAGCAGGGGCAAGAUCGUGAAUAUGCUGGAUGAUCUCCUUUGCAGUUUGUACAGUGUGGAGCAGCAUUACAGUUUUCCGACUGAUGGUCAUUGGCAC